ACCAAUAUUAUGAGGGAGAGAGGAGAGAAGCAGAGCCGGGAUUGGUCUGUGCGUGAAAACAGAUGCCGGGGAAAGGAGAUGUUGGAGGAUUCCUUUAUAUAACCCGGGUGGAAAAAAGAUACAGCGGUGAGGCAGAAGGGGAAAAGGAGAGGAGAGAAUCUAUCCACGAGCAUCUCCAAACAGAAACAGAUGCUCACUUUAGCGAACUACAGCCAUAUUAUUCCUGAUGCCAGAUAAAGGAUAGGUGAGAUAGCAGCAGGACCUGAGAUCAUCCGUCUGACAGCUAAGAGGUGGCUGAAAUGGUGUCAUGCAACAGGACAAUGAUGUGAAACAGCAGCACAUCUAUAACAGAUCAGCUGAAAAAGGAAAGAAUUUUGGUGCUGCAAUGACCCAGUCAAAGUCCAGAUGUCAACCUUGCAUGAAAGGCUGUGGUGGGACCUUAAGAGAUAUGCAUAAAUGAAAUCCUGCAAACCUCAAUGAACUGAAGCAAUGCUGUAAAGAAGACUGGACCACAAGCCAAACAGGAAAUAAGUUCAAGUUGUUGCUGCUGAAGUUGGUUCUACAAGCUCCUGAGUCAUGGGGUGUAGUUAGUUUUUCCACAUGCUGCUUCUGCACUUUGGCUCAGUUUUUUCUUCAAUUAAUAAUGACACGGUGUAAUAUUUCAUGUGUUGUUCUUCAUCUGAGGUCGAAUUUCAAUAAUUUUUAAGAUCUGACUGGACAAUUUUCUUUAUUUAUAACCCAAGAAAUGAAAGAGUGUGUACUUUCUUUUUACCAUGCAUGUAUAUAUAUCACUACAAUUCGUGAACAUUAACUCCCCCCUUAUUUUGUUCUACUUAUCAAGUUAUACCUCACAGCCUUAGGAAGAUGAACAUACAGUAAGACCUUGCAGGCUGUUUUACCUGGGGGUUUCCAGAUGAUGAGAUUCAGAAUAAUUCAUUCAUUCAUAUACUGAAUAUUUAAUAAAAUGGCAUGGGGCAAUAUGUGAAAGGCUUAUUUCAUGUUAAAGUGUUUUUUUAAGGCUAUAAAAUAAUGUGUGUCCACAUAUUGAGGUCAGCGUAGACGGCCAUGGCACAAAAAGUCCUUAUAUAUCCAUUUUAGUUAUGUCUUAGAAGCUAAUCUUAAAAUUCUAGUGAAUAUAAGAGAAUAGCUAAUAAGCUCUGCAGGAUGGCUUAAAAAGAGCCUAUUUCCUUCAGAGAACUUCAUAUUUUCACAAUGGAAGCUUUUCACCUGGCAGGAAUGAUCUGCAGGUGUGUGCUGUGGCUGGCAUGUGUGAAUUCAAAAGUUUAGGCCAUUUAUG